GAGUGUGUGUGUGUGAAAGAGAGAGAGAGAGAAAGAGAGUCGCGAUGUGCUCCCAAAGUGAAUAAAAAAAAGCAUCGUAGUCCACCACUAUCAUCGCCACUUGUAAAAGUUCUCACGCGUGUAUAGUUUAAAAAAAAAACCCCGUAUCGAGAUUCGCUGUGACGAAGCCACGCAUUUUACGUUUUUCCUCCUUCACUCUUCCUCCUUUUUUCUUCUCUCUUUUCUCCCCCCUUUUUCUUUAAAGUCAGAGGGACAAAGAAAAAGAGAGCGAGAGAAAGAGAGAGCGGAUCCAAAAUUUGUGUAUAGAGCAAGUUUAAACAAAAUGGUUUGAUUAAAUUUAAUCAGACGACAAGAGGGAAAAAAUAUGACGAGGAUAAGGAAGAACGAGCAAAUCUUUAAGAUAAAGCCGUUGAAACGCUAUAAAAACCGACCCAAUUAUUAUUUCUUUACUCGUAAUUUGUUUUAUAUAUGUACGUUAUAUAUAGAUAAUUAUGAAAUAGAAAACUAAGUUAUUUUAUCAAGUGCCCUUGCUUUGUAUUAUAGUCGCGUCCGUCAGCGAGCCGUAGCUUCUGGGAGUUAAAAGGAAGAGAGAAAGGGAGAAUAUGAGGAGUUAGAGAGAAUGCGUCGAGAGAGAGAGCGAGCGUGAGAGAAACUGCGAGCGAGUGCGUGUGUUGUUAAAAUGUUGCGUCAGUUAUUGAUACACUGUGGGCACCGGGGUAUUGAUGACAAUUCAAUACCAUCAAUGUGAUUGGCAGAAGUGUGGUGAGAGAGGAGAAUACAUUACAAGUCUGAACAGAGUCUACUACUUAGAUCCGUCGCUUCAAUUUUGACAAAAAAAAAAAGAAAGAAAACCGCUCCCGUAUCCCGCAUCCCAUUUUUCGCAAAAAAAAGACGAAGGGCGUUCUUGGUUUUUUUUUUUUUUCAUUUCACGAGGCGCGCGAUGUCACGCACGUCGUAUUCACCAACGAUUCCGAUUCACGAAGCCAACGCGAUUUCAAAAUGACAUAAUUUACGCCGCGAGACGGUUUUUGUUUUCUACGUAAAUUUUUUUUUGGUCAUGAAUUUAUGAGAACCUUUUUCAUUAAUUCGGACAAGAACGGAGGUAUUAACGCGAUUAAUAAAUGUAAUUGUUAUUUGCAUCUCGUUUCGUCGUUAAACACUCCGGAUUGAGUAGAGCUUUAAAAGUUUACUGCAGCCGGCCUUAAGAAGAAAAUUAUCCGUAGAUGUAAUCCGCCGAGCGUUUACGCCCAUAGAAUCUCUCUCGUGAUGAAUUCACGCGAGAACGCAAUAGGGCUCGUAUACUUUGCGACAGGAAGGAUAUUUUACAUUUGUACAUAUCUAUAGAGAAUUCUCUGGGAACAUAAUCGGUGCAUGUAAAAUAAGAAUGAGAAGAGAUAAAAGAAAAAAAAACUUUUCGACUACUUUUUUCGUAAAAAAGAGAAUAGAGAAAUGAAAUACCUUCCUAUCGACUGCAAGACAAACAAAAAGGAAAGAAACAGGAAUUUCGUCGAGGACGGUGUAUGAAAACGUUAUAAGCAAUAAAUUUACGUAUUUGUGUAUAAUUUAAAGUUAGUAAAACUUAUUAAUUAUAUAUAAAUCACGCGCGCAUCUCUCACGGUAUGCACGAUACCCCCGCUGCUUUUCGUUUCACUUUCGUUUUGGCGAACGCUGUUGAACAAUGAAUUGCCGAGUAGCUAAAAAGUUAUAGAACAUUUUUAUUUAUAUAUUUAUAUAUAUAUAUACGUAUUUUUAGUAUGUGUGUGUGAAUUAUAUAAAAAUGAAAAUCGCCGAGGAUUACACGAAGUAUUGAUUAGGCUGGAGGACGCGCGCGCCUUUGGGCCGAGGGCUAAUCGACUGGUCUCUAUCGAGAUAUCCGUUUAAUAGCAGGUGUAAAAUCGUCGCGCCAAUUACAAUCAUAAUAAUUCUCUUUUAAUCUUAUCCUACGAGUGAACAGGUAUUACGUGUACACAGAACUAUUACAAUUAUAGUCUCGGAGAAGUUAAAUUCAAUCAA